GACGGAGGAUUCAAGCGUUAUCCGGAAUCACUGGGCGUAAAGCGUCUGUAGGUCGUUCAAUAAGUCAACUGUUAAAUCUUGAGGCUCAACUUCAAAAUCGCAGUCGAAACUAUUAAACUAGAGUAUAGUAGGGGUAAAGGGAAUUUCCAGUGGAGCGGUGAAAUGCGUAGAGAUUGGAAAGAACACCAAUGGCGAAAGCGCUUUACUGGGCUAUUACUGACACUGAGAGACGAAAGCUAGGGUAGCAAAUGGG
rnacentral:rRNA from 1 species